rnacentral:rRNA from 1 species
CUACGGGACGCUCCAGUGGGGAAUAUUGCACAAUGGGCGCAAGCCUGAUGCAGCAACGCCGCGUGAGGGAUGAAGGCCUUCGGGUUGUAAACCUCUUUUAGCAGGGAAGAAGCGAAAGUGACGGUACCUGCAGAAAAAGCACCGGCUAACUACGUGCCAGCAGCCGGGGUAAUACGUAGGGUGCAAGCGUUGUCCGGAAUUAUUGGGCGUAAAGAGCUCGUAGGCGGUUUGUCACGUCUGCUGUGAAAAUCCAAGGCUCAACCUUGGACUUGCAGUGGGUACGGGCAGGCUAGAGUGCGGUAGGGGAGAUGGGAAUUCCUGGUGUAGCGGUGGAACGCGCAGAUAUCAGGAGGAACACCAAUGGCGAAGGCACAUCUCUGGGCCGUAACUGACGCUGAGGAGCGAAAGCGUGGGGAGCGAACAGGAUUAGAUACCCUGGUAGUC